rnacentral:lncRNA from 1 species
GCCGGGCGUGGUGGCACACACCUUUAAUCCCAGCACUCGGGAGGCAGAGGCAGGCAGAUUUCUGAGUUCGAGGCCAGCCUGGUCUACAAAGUGAGUUCCAGGACAGCCAGGGCUAUACAGAGAAACCAUGUCUCAAAAAACCAAAAAAAAAAAAAAAAAAAAAAAAAAAGACAGGGUUUCUCUGUGUAGCAUAGCCCUGGCUGUCCUGAAACCCACUCUGUAGACCAGGCAGGCCUCAAACUCAGAGAUCCCCCUGCCU